AAUGAACGCUGGCGGCAUGCCUAACACAUGCAAGUCGAACGAAGGCUUCGGCCUUAGUGGCGCACGGGUGCGUAACGCGUGGGAAUCUACCCUCAGGUUCGGAAUAACAGCGAGAAAUUGCUGCUAAUACCGGAUGAUAUCGCGAGAUCAAAGAUUUAUCGCCUGAGGAUGAGCCCGCGUAGGAUUAGCUAGUUGGUGUGGUAAAGGCGCACCAAGGCGACGAUCCUUAGCUGGUCUGAGGGGAUGAUCAGCCACACUGGGACUGAGACAGGGCCCAGACUCCUACGGGAGGCAGCAGUGGGGAAUAUUGGACAAUGGGCGAAAGCCUGAUCCAGCAAUGCCGCGUGAGUGAUGAAGGCCUUAGGGUUGUAAAGCUCUUUUACCCGGGAUGAUAAUGACAGUACCGGGAGAAUAAGCUCCGGCUAACUCCGUGCCAGCAGCCGCCGUAA
rnacentral:rRNA from 1 species